CCCGCGUGUAUGAUGAAGGCCUUCGGGUUGUUUAGUACUAAUGGCAGAGAAGAAAAGGUAUCCCCUAAUACGGGAUACUGCUGACGGUAUCUGCAGAAUAAGCACCGGCUAACUACGUGCCAGCAGCCGCGGUAAUACGUAGGGUGCAAGCGUUAAUCGGAAUUACUGGGCGUAAAGGGUGUGUAGCCGGUUCGGAAAGAAAGAUGUGAAAUCCCAGGGCUCAACCUUGGAACUGCAUUUUUAACUGCCGAGCUAGAGUAUGUCAGAGGGGGGUAGAAUUCCACGUGUAGCAGUGAAAUGCGUAGAUAUGUGGAGGAAUACCGAUGGCGAAGGCAGCGGCCUGGGAUAAUACUGACGCUCAGACACGAAAGCGUGGGGAGCAAACAGGAUUAAAUACCCUGGUAGUCCACGCCCUAAACGAUGUCAACUAGCUGUUGGGGCCGUUAGGCCUUAUUAGCGCAGCUAACGCGUGAAGUUGACCGCCUGGGGAGUACGGCCGCAAGAUUAAAACUCAAAGGAAUUGACGGGGACCCGCACAAGCGGUGGAUGAUGUGGAUUAAUUCGAUGCAACGCGAAAAACCUUACCUACCCUUGACAUGUCUGGAAAGCCGAAGAGAUUUGGCCGUGCUCGCAAGAGAACCGGAACACAGGUGCUGCAUGCCAAUCCUAAAAAAAAAUG
rnacentral:rRNA from 1 species